CAGCCGCCGCGGGAAUACGGAGGGUGCAAGCGUUAAUCGGAAUUACUGGGCGUAAAGCGCACGCAGGCGGUCUGUCAAGACAGAUGUGAAAUCCCCGGGCUCAACCUGGGAACUGCAUUUGUGACUGUAUAGCUAGAGUACGGCAGAGGGGGAUGGAAUUCCGCGUGUAGCAGUGAAAUGCGUAGAUAUGCGGAGGAACACCGAUGGCGAAGGCAAUCCCCUGGGCCUGUACUGACGCUGAUGGACGAAAGCGUGGGGAGCGAACAGGAUUAGAUACCCCCGUAGUCCCUGUCUCUUAUAA
rnacentral:rRNA from 1 species